UACGGUGGGGGCAAGCGUUGUUCGGAAUUACUGGGCGUAAAGGGCUCGUAGGCGGCCAACUAAGUCAGACGUGAAAUCCCUCGGCUUAACCGGGGAACUGCGUCUGAUACUGGAUGGCUUGAGAUUGGGAGAGGGAUGCGGAAUUCCAGGUGUAGCGGUGAAAUGCGUAGAUAUCAGGAGGAACACCGGUGGCGAAGGCGGGAUCCUGGGCCAGUACUGACGCUGAGGAGCGAAAGCGUGGGGAGCAAACAGG
rnacentral:rRNA from 1 species